UACGUAGGUGGCAAGCGUUGUCCGGAUUUACUGGGCGUAAAGGGCUUGUAGGCGGUUCGUUAAGUCUGGUGUGAAAUCUCCCGGCUCAACCGGGAGGGGUCAUCGGAUACUGGCGGACUAGAGACGGGUAGAGGAAAGCAGAAUUCCCGGUGUAGCGGUGAAAUGCGUAGAUAUCGGGAGGAAUACCAGUGGCGAAGGCGGCUUUCUGGGCCUGUUCUGACGCUGAGGAGCGAAAGCGUGGGGAGCAAACCGG
rnacentral:rRNA from 1 species